GCUCCAGCUCACAGCGACACCGAUCUGGUAAAGCCCCCAUCCUGGCCUGACCCUGCCAUGGGUACCAGGCUUCUCUGCUGGGUGGUCCUGGGUUUCCUAGGGACAGAUCACACAGGUGCUGGAGUCUCCCAGUCUCCCAGGUACAAAGUCACAAAGAAGGGACAGGAUGUAGCUCUCAGGUGUGAUCCAAUUUCAGGUCAUGUAUCCCUUUAUUGGUACCGACAGACCCUGAGGCAGGGCCCAGAGUUUCUGACUUACUUCAAUUAUGAAGCUCAACAAGACAAAUCAGGGCUGCUCAGUGGUCGGUUCUCUGCAGAGAGGCCUGAGGGAUCCGUCUCCACUCUGAAGAUCCAGCGCACAGAGCAGGGGGACACGGCGGUGUAUCUCUGUGCCAGCAGCUUAGCCACAGCGUGGCACAGUUGCCUCCUUCCUGCUCACAAACCUCAUCCUUCUCUCUCCUUGCAGCUCCUAGAGACCCUUAACAGAGGGCUCUCUUUACUCCUCACUUUUCUUGGGAAAAAGGCAGAUGUGGACCUCGCUGUCCUUUGGUUUGUAUCUAUGAAAGCGAAUGCACUGGCCAGAGCUGAUGUGAUUAUGGAUCAUGGGUUUCGGGGAGUCCUCAGUGUCCCAGACGCAGCCAUGAUAGAGGUGCCCUGA